rnacentral:snoRNA from 1 species
AUCCUUUUGUAGUUCAUGAGCAUGAUGAUUGGGUAUUUAUGCACACGUGUGAGAUCUGCCACUCUCUGAACCUUGUUACAACGUCUAACCUGAAA